GUAGGGAAUAUUGGGCAAUGGUCGGAAGACUGACCCAGCCAUGCCGCGUGCAGGAAGACGGCCCUCUGGGUUGUAAACUGCUUUUAUCUGGGAAGAAAAAGGCCAUGCGUGGCAAAUUGCCGGUACCAGAUGAAUAAGCACCGGCUAACUCCGUGCCAGCAGCCGCGGUAAUACGGAGGGUGCGAGCGUUGUCCGGAUUUAUUGGGUUUAAAGGGUGCGUAGGCGGCUGAUUAAGUCAGCGGUGAAAGACUUCGGCUUAACCGGUGCAGUGCCGUUGAUACUGGUUGGCUUGAGUGUCGGAGGGGUACAUGGAAUUGAUGUUGUAGCGGUGAAAUGCAUAGAUACCAUCAGGAACACCGAUAGCGAAGGCAUUGUACUGGCCGACAACUGACGCUGAUGCACGAAAGUGUGGGAAUCGAACAGGAUUAGAUACCCGGGUAGUCC
rnacentral:rRNA from 1 species